GAAGGUGACAAGUUUAAUCUAUUAAAAUGAAAUUGUUCAGUUUUCUCACUUUUGUGCUGGCGGUGAUUGUCUUGUUCGCGGGACUCACUGAUGCAAACCCCAAAGUCAACGUGAACGCAAUUAGAAAAGGCGGUAGUGCUAUAAGAAAAGGUCUCGGAGUCGUUGGAGCAGCAGGCACAGCACAUGAAGUGUACGAACAUG